rnacentral:rRNA from 1 species
UACGUAGGCAGCGAGCGUUGUUCGGAAUUACUGGGCGUAAAGAGUGUGUAGGCGGUGUUCCCAGUCUGUUGUGAAAUCUCCCGGCUUAACUGGGAGGGUGCAGCGGAAACUAGAAUGCUAGAGGGUGGGAGAGGUAAGCGGAAUUCCUGGUGUAGCGGUGAAAUGCGUAGAUAUCAGGAGGAACACCUGUGGUGUAGACAGCUUACUGGGCCACUUCUGACGCUGAGACACGAAAGCGUGGGUAGCAAACAGG